AUUGGGCGGAAGGUUCGGUGGCACUCCGUCGGUCUUCCAGCUGGUGGGAGUUGGCGACGCGGGGCUGGGCGUUGGGACCCUGUUUUAUCUAGUUCGGGAAGUUGGGUUGUGGGGUCAUACCUGUCUGUCUGCUCCCAGCUUUCUUGGGUUUCUUCCGACGGCGUGGGGCCUCGCUAAGGAAUUCCCGGCCCCUUAGGGCCGCGGCUUUAGCGGUGUCUUUUGCGAGUUCUUCGUAAGUACAUCUUAAAGCUGUCAAGAUGGUUCUAGCAGACCUUGGAAGAAAAAUAACAUCAGCAUUACGCUCGUUGAGCAAUGCUACCAUUAUCAAUGAAGAGGUAUUGAAUGCUAUGCUAAAAGAAGUCUGUACUGCUUUGUUGGAAGCAGAUGUUAAUAUUAAACUAGUGAAGCAACUCAGAGAAAAUGUUAAGUAAGUUAAAUUAAUCAGGUAAAACGCAGGCAUGGUUAAGUUUAGUUUGCUGGAAAGAGGUGCUAACUAGAAGUGUUUGCUGUAUCAGGAAUCAUUUCUGCUCUGCAGCACUGGAAAAGUGCUGUGUUGGAGCUCAUAUGUUGGGCGAGAUCAUGUGUAGUAGUUUCCAUAAUGAUGGUUCAAAGAAUAAACUACAUGUGAUUUUCAUUUAAUUAC
rnacentral:sRNA from 1 species